rnacentral:rRNA from 1 species
AAUCAACGCUGGCGGCGUGCCUCAGACAUGCAAGUCGAACGAUUAAAGCUCUCUUCGGAGAGUGUAUAGAGUGGCGCACGGGUGAGUAACACGUAAGUAAUCUACCUUUGAGUGGGGAAUAACCCGGGGAACCCGAGCUAAUACCGCAUAAUGCAGCGGCACCGCAAGGUGACAGUUGUUAAAGGAGCAAUCCGCUUAAAGAGGAGCUUGCGGCAGAUUAGCUAGNGGUAAGGUAAUGGCUUACCAAGGCUUCGAUCUGUAUCCGGCCUGAGAGGGGCGGUCGGGACACACUGACACUGAAUAACGGGUCAGACUCCUACGGGAGGCAGCAGUCGGGAAUUUGGGCAAUGGGCGAAAGCCUGACCCAGCAACGCCG